rnacentral:rRNA from 1 species
UGGGGAAUUUUGCACAAUGGGGGAAACCCUGAUGCAGCGACGCCGCGUGAUUUAGAAGGCCUUCGGGUUGUAAAAAUCUUUUGUAUGGGAAGAAAAUGACAGUACCAUACGAAUAAGGACCGGCUAAUUACGUGCCAGCAGCCGCGGUAAUACGUAAGGUCCGAGCGUUGUCCGGAAUCAUUGGGCGUAAAGGGUACGUAGGCGGAUAAGCAAGUUAGAAGUGAAAUCCUAUAGCUCAACUAUAGUAAGCUUUUAAAACAGCUCAUCUUGAGGUAUGGAAGGGAAAGUGGAAUUCCUAGAGUAGCGGUGAAAUGCUUAGAUAUCAUGAAGAACUCCGAUUGCGAAGGCAGCUUACGGGAGUGUUACUGACGCUUAAGCUCGAAGGUGCGGGUAUCGAACAGG